rnacentral:lncRNA from 1 species
UCUUAUUUGUUCUUGUUGAGGAUUUUCUUUUGACUCCUCCUUUGCUUCUUCGUUUUUAAUUUCCCUAAUUUUUGCUGGACUGAUUCAGAUUUGCAAUCCACAUGGAUGCCAAAAUUUUUGCCUAAGUCACUCAUCUUUGAUUUUUCGACUUAACGAACUUUCUUUCUUUUUCUUUUAAUUUCCCUAAUUUUGAUGGAUUGAUCCAGAUUUGCAAUCCACAGGGAUGCCCUAAUUUUUGCCUAAGUCACUCAUUUUUGAGUUUUCGACUUA